CGGGUGAGUAACACGUGGAUAAUCUGCCCUUAGGUCUGGGACAACUCGGGGAAACCCGAGCUAAUACCGGAUAAGACCACAGUACGAGAGUACAGUGGGAAAAGUGGGGGACCCUUUCGGGGGCCUCAUGCCAAAGGAUGAGUCCGCGGUCCAUCAGCUUGUUGGCGGGGUAAAGGCCCACCAAGGCUAAGACGGAUAGCUGGUCUGAGAGGAUGAUCAGUCACACUGGAACUGAGAUACGGUCCAG
rnacentral:rRNA from 1 species